UCAGGAUGAACGCUAGCUACAGGCUAACACAUGCAAGUCAGGGGCAGCAUGGGAUUAGCUUGCUAAUCCUGAUGGCGACCGGCGCACGGGUGAGUAACGCGUAUCCAACCUUCCCCCUGCUCAGGGAUAGCCCGGUGAAAACCGGAUUAAUACCUGAUGGUUUCAUUUGACGGCAUCAGAUGAUGAAUAAGAAUUUCGGCAAGGGAUGGGGAUGCGUCUGAUUAGCUUGUUGGCGGGGUAACGGCCCACCAAGGCGACGAUCAGUAGGGUUCUGAGAGGAAGGUCCCCCACAUUGGAACUGAGACACGGUCCAUACUCCUACGGGAGGCAGCAGUGAGGAAUAUUGGUCAAUGGGCGAGAGCCUGAACCAGCCAAGUAGCGUGCAGGAUGACGGCCCUAUGGGUUGUAAACUGCUUUUGUGCGGGAAUAAAGUCAGGGACGUGUCCCUGUUUGCAUGUACCGCAAGAAUAAGGACCGGCUAAUUCCGUGCCAGCCGCCGC
rnacentral:rRNA from 1 species